rnacentral:snRNA from 1 species
AUACCUUUCUCGGCCUUUUGGCUAAAAUCAAGUGUAGUAUCUGUUCUUAUCAGUUUAAUAUCUGAUAUAUGGACUACAUGUACACAACGAUAUUAAAUUUAUUUUUUGUGGGGGAGAAUCCAUCUUAGUGGCUUGCCACUAGGGUCCUCGCGUGUUCGUCGGGCGUUGCACUAUAGCCCGGGUGUGGCGCGCCCCAC